GACAGAGGAUGCAAGCGUUAUCCGGAAUUACUGGGCGUAAAGCGCACGCAGGCGGUUCGCCAAGUUUGGAGUGACAGUUGUCGGCUCAACCGACAAAGGACUUCAAAAACUGGUGAACUUGAGGACGAGAGAGGAACAUGGAACUCCAGGUGUAGUAGUGAAAUGCGUAGAUAUCUGGAAGAACACCAAUGGCGAAGGCAAUGUUCUGGCUCGUUUCUGACGCUCAGGUGCGAAAGCCAGGGGAGCGAACGGG
rnacentral:rRNA from 1 species